rnacentral:rRNA from 1 species
UACAGAGGGUGCGAGCGUUAAUCGGAAUUACUGGGCGUAAAGCGCGCGUAGGCGGCUUUGCAAGUCGGGUGUGAAAUCCCCAGGCUUAACCUGGGAACUGCAUUCGAGACUGCAUUGCUAGAGUAUGGGAGGGGGAAGUGGAAUUUCCGGUGUAGCGGUGAAAUGCGUAGAUAUCGGAAGGAACAUCAGUGGCGAAAGCGACUUCCUGGACCAAUACUGACGCUCAUGUGCGAAAGCGUGGGGAGCAAACAGG